CCCGCUGAACUUAAGCAUAUCAAUAAGCGGAGGAAAAGAAACUAACAAGGAUUCCCCUAGUAACUGCGAGUGAAGCGGGAAAAGCUCAAAUUUAAAAUCUGGCGGUCUUGCGGCCGUCCGAGUUGUAAUCUGGAGAAGCGUUUAUCCGCGUCGGACCGUGUACAAGUCUUCUGGAAGGGAGCGUCGUAGAGGGUGAGAAUCCCGUCUUUGGCAUGGACACACCAGGGCUUCUGUGAUGCGCUCUCGAAGAGUCGAGUUGUUUGGGAAUGCAGCUCAAAAUGGGUGGUGAACUCCAUCUAAAGCUAAAUAUUGGCGAGAGACCGAUAGCGAACAAGUACCGUGAGGGAAAGAUGAAAAGCACUUUGGAAAGAGAGUGAAACAGUACGUGAAAUUGUUGGAAGGGAAACGCUUGAAGUCAGUCGCGUCGGCCGAGACUCAGCCUUGCCUCGGCUUGGUGUAUUUCUUGGCCCGACGGGUCAGCAUCAAUUUUGCCCCUUGGAUAAUGGCUAGGGAAAUGUGACACCUUUAUAGGUGUGUUAUAGUCUCUCGUCGCAUGCAAGGGUCAGGAUUGAGGAACUCAGCAUGCACCUUCGGGUGUCGGGGCUUUUGUCCACGAUACAUGCUUAGGAUGUUGGCGUAAUGGCUUUAAACGACCCGUCUUGAAACACGG
rnacentral:rRNA from 1 species